rnacentral:rRNA from 1 species
UACGUAGGGUGCAAGCGUUAAUCGGAAUUACUGGGCGUAAAGCGUGCGCAGGCGGUGAUGUAAGACAGGGUGUGAAAUCCCCGGGCUUAACCUGGGAACUGCAUUUGUGACUGCAUCGCUGGAGUGCGGCAGAGGGGGAUGGAAUUCCGCGUGUAGCAGUGAAAUGCGUAGAUAUGCGGAGGAACACCGAUGGCGAAGGCAAUCCCCUGGACCUGUACUGACGCUCAUGCACGAAAGCGUGGGG